AAAAAGAUGAGUGUGGUUAGUAGUUGAUAUGUAAUGUUCAUGUGCCCUGAGAUAAGCAUUAGAACUCUCUCUCUCUCUCUCUCUCUCUCUCUCUCUCUGUGUCCGGUAGGCCUGGGUCACGGACGACAUGCCCGUGAACUGUGUCUCUUUUAUCUGGCCAUUUCUCACGUCCCCAAGAACAAAAAGCUUGACUACGCUGCUCAUCGAUCCUCCUCUUAUCCUUCUUCUUCUUCUUCUUCUUCUUCUUCCUCUCUCUCUGUGACCUCACUCAUCUGUGCUGAGGGCUCCCUGGCUUUGUCUCAGGCUGCUACUGCAACGAGCUUGUGAUGCUUGCGGCCGAUGGUUGCUGCUGCCCAUCAUCACCUCUCAUUCUGCAAGCUCUAUCCUUCUUUCUCAUUUUAAUCUGUGUUUCUUGCGAUAGCCAGCUGUGUCUACCUCAAAAGGCAUCAGAAAAGUUGACCCUACAACAGAGUAAAGACAAAUUGAUGUAGUUAAACUUUGGAUCUACUGAACCCUAAGCAUUUUAAAGUCAGUGUUGGGCAGUGUAAAAUAAGAUCCAUCACAACACAUCCAUAUUACCUUUUGUUUUUAGCACUGCCAAUGAUUGAAGGGACACUUGAUUACCUGCAUCUGACUUCACCGUUCGUAUUUUGUGCAAUUAAAUAAUAUAUACAAUUGCUUAGCCAUUAGGUAUAAUAAAAUCAUUAUAAUCUUAAGGAGAAGUACCAAACAACUCUUAAGAUUAACUAGCAUUUGUUUCCACUAUUUGUGGGCAAAACAACUUGUAAUUAGCCAGAAACUAGCCUGACACAUUCCUUGGUAGAACUCUUGAUGAUGGAUCUAUCAAGAUUUCAUGGAACAUACUUUACUUUGGGGGAGUACAAACAAAACUAAUGAACUGCAACCAAGCAUACACAGAUCUACAAGUUGUUCAAUAAAAAAUAAUUACAUAUGCAAAAGAUAUCAUUAGUAGUCUUCCUCAACAGACAGAUCUUAGAACCGACAAUCCUUUGUCUAAUACAUGAGAGAUUUCCGGAUCAUUAUUCUGCAUGCUGAGUAAUAAACAAUUGUUGCACAACCUAAUAGAUGCAUUCUCUAUCUCUUCAAAGCUUGGCUUUAAACACAACCCAGAAGCUGGUAAUACAGCAUCUUUCUAAAUCCUAAACCUAAUCCAUUUCUCCAACAUGAUAUAAAUUACAGUCAAGUUCCAAUUCAAAAAUGGAACAGGUGGAUUAGGUCACAUGUUGUACUCUCCCUUAUCACAUUACUAAAUACAUUACAAUAAAGAACUAAGUAGUACUAGAAAGAGCAGAUGGCCAAGCUCAGUAAUACAUCAACAAAAUCCUAUUAAAGUCCUAUUAGCUGUUCUUUAAUCUUCCGGUCUUCUGAUUGAGAGUAUGGUUUGUUUUAUUUGGUGUCUUCUUGCUGCAUGGAACUGACAAGAAUCUGCACAAAUCAACACAAACAUCCAUAUACUACUGGACAAAACAGGGAUUGACUGUUUGCUAUAUUUGUCUUUGUGGAAUUCUCUCACUAGUAUUUUCAUGGCUUCGACAUUAUAAUUGAUAUAUAAGGCAAGUAAAGCUUGCUUCUCAAUUUGUUGACUUAUAUAUAAAGCAUCAUCUUGCAUAGUGCAAGAUCUAAAAAACGGGAUCAGGCAUGAAGGGUCAACUGGAUCGAUCAGAUAAGAAACCUAUCUAAAGUUCAAUCUGAUUUAUCACAAAAAUCCGAUGGAGCAAAAAACCAAUCAAAUCUAGACAAACUUGAUCAAACCCAUGAAAAAACACAAACCAACAAUGUGGGAAGAAUAAAACUUUAUUAUUGUUUUUUCCUGUUUCAUAAAAUGUAUUUUUGGUAUUUUUUAUUUUCAAUAUCCCUACCAUUCCUAUCUUACACUCUUAACCAUUAUUAUAAAAACAAUGCUAUGAAAUCAAGCACAACUAAUUGAAAACAUGAUCGUCGUUUUUUCUACCUAAAAAUCAAAAUGCCUUUUUUACAUAUAAGGAAACAUUUUUGCUUGUGGAAUACAUGUGUUUCUCAUAUGUUUUAAGAGGAAGAAGAUCACUAUAUCUUUGAAUGGCCAAGAACAACUUGGGAAUAGGAAGUUUGUAUUGGUUGGCAUUUAUAUAAUCGACAAAUAAAGAGACAAAACAACCUUGGCAUUUGAUUUAUACAUAUAUGUGUUCAUUCAAUGAUCUAAUGAAAUCAAAAUGAACUGUUAGAUCAACAAAAUUAUCUGCUAUGUUAACUUAAUGGACUCGGGACAUUUUAAACUAGAUUGAACAUAUUUGUUCCUAGAUCAAUAAAAGUGCUGAUUUAUAUAGAAGAGCCAAAAAUACAUUAGAAAAGAUCCAUAUAACUGUUCCGAAUGAUUGUGAUAUUACAUCCUCCUACUGUUGUUAUCAUAUAUAACAAGACCAAUCGAUUAAUCGUUUUAGGGUUUAAAUAAGGGUUCUUACAAGGUUCAACUUUGUGCAAGACAUAUUGUGACGAACAAGUGAUACACUGUCCAAGCUCAUACGAAAUUAUGCAACACACAAGACUCCCAUCUAGUGUAGAAUAUUUAUAUAUGAGAUAAAGACCAAUAUAGGAAUUAGAGUAGUCCUACGUUAGUAAGAGAUAAAAAAAGAUUUAAGGUAAUAUGAGAAAUUCUUAUGUUCGGUUAGUGUCCAUGUAUGUUAGUCUCGAUCUGGUAUCACUCAAAACUCCAACUCCAUAAAACUUCCCAGUAGAGACACAGGGAUUUAUGUUAAAGCAUAAACCACACUGUAAUCAGAAGUGUUAUAUCAGUAGCAAAUGAGCAGGUCGAUAGCAGCUUCCCUUGUGAUGCUACAGGACGAAUAGUCUACUUGGGAUCUUUAUCCUUUAGUUUUAUAUAGUUUAUUUUAUUAUUUUGACUCAGGGGUGAAAGAUUGAGGAAGGUGGAUACAGAAUAAGAGAUGGGUUAGGCGAAGAACUAUCCUUGGUCACAUAAGGACAAGCUUUGCCUUACUCUGCACCACCCCUUCAUCUCUCUCUCUCUCUCUCUCUCUCAUCAUACUUAUUGACUCGAGGAGACCAGAAGGAAUAGAUCAAUGGGCAGAAACUGGGACUGCAGAAGGUGAGGGGAGGGGGAGAACAAUGAAAGAAACCGCACAAGUAAGAGCUGUCAUCCUUCCACUGCUUCAGUCCCAAUGGCAUGCAAGGCAGGAGACGAGGAGAAGUGAAGAGAUAUUUGAUCUGUUUACUUCUCUUAUGUUACAUCCCCUGGUCUUUGUUUUCUUUGUUAUUUGAGAAGAUUGUCUUCUAAGAGCUUUAGAUCAUUGACUUUGCUAUGGAGCUUUGGGGGGGUUCUUCAUAUAUUCUUUUUCUUUUGGGCUUCUGUGUUGCCUUCCAAGGAUCCAAUGAAAAGAAGGCGUGAGAACAAAAGAAGGAGAUCAGCUUUCAUGGUUGUAUGUUGGCCAGCGGGAAUAUUUAUUUUGGUCUGAAAUCAACAAUAGAUCUGGGAGAGUGAGGAAGGAGAAACAAGAAGAAUACCGUCAGUAGAAAAAGGGAGGACAUGGCAUCAGCUUCGUCAUCAUCGUCACCCCUCCUUGGGAUCAAAGAUGAGGAGCUUCAACAUGAACAGAAACAACAGCAGCAGUCCUCUUCCGCCACGCUGCCUGCAACUCUGAAGAAGAAAAGAAACCAACCAGGAAACCCAAGCAAGUAUCUGAAACAUUCAUCCACAUUUAUGUGCUCCCUCUUUCUAAUUAUAUUAUAUGCUGCUCCUCCAGCUCCACUAAAGGAUGCAUGUCUUAGUCCUGCAUACUAGACUUCUCUUCAGAUCGUGAAAACCCUAUGCUGUAGAAUUGGGAUUCACCAUCUGUGUUCCCAAUCUUCUUUUCGUAUUCCUGUUCAACGCUUGCUAUGCGCAUACAGUUCCCUCUGGUUCUCGUUGGUACGGAUGAAGUUUUCCUCCACUUCAAUCCCAUCUCUUUUCUGUCAUUUCCUUACUUUCUUUUAUUUGAAAAAAAAUUAGGAGAUAGUGAGAAUAAGACGGAGGAGAGAGAGUCCUUACACAAUUACAUUCUUCUCUUCACAUCUAUAAUUUGUUUUCACGUAUUUAAUAUUAUAAACCCUAUCUAUUUAUGCUUUUUAGAUUACACAUUAAACAUUAUGUGCAUAUCGAGGGGUUCAUGCAUCCUUUUGAUGAUAAUCCUAUUUAAUAUAAUUUUAUAUUUUUAUGCAUCUGUUCAUUGUGUCUUUUAUAUAUAAGAUAAUACAUUAAAUUUAUUUUCUAUCUCAUUCCUACUCCAUCCUAUCCAGUUGCUGCAUACUAAUAUUAUAGAUUGAAUAAUGGUAUCCACGACCGAAUCCACAUGUCUGCAGCAGCAGAUCCUGAGGUGGAGGUGAUCGCGCUGUCGCCGGAGACGCUGCUGGCGACGAACCGAUUCGUCUGCGAGGUGUGCAACAAGGGGUUUCAACGGGAGCAGAACCUGCAGCUGCACCGCCGCGGGCACAACCUGCCAUGGAAGCUCCGGCUGAGAAGCGGCGAGGAGGAGGGGAGGCGCCGCCGCCGGGUGUACCUCUGCCCCGAGCCGACGUGCGCUCACCACCAUCCCUCCCGCGCCCUCGGCGACCUUACCGGUGUAAAAAAGCACUUCUGCCGCAAGCACGGCGAGAAGAGGUGGAAGUGCAACAAGUGCUCCAAGCGCUACGCCGUGCGCUCGGACCUUAAGGCGCAUUCCAAGACCUGCGGCAACUGCGAGUACCGCUGCGAGUGCGGCACGCUCUUCUCCAGGUCAGUAGUAGCAGUAGCAGCAUUCUCCAUUGCAUGAUUUCAUCAUUGGAUCAUCGUUAAAACAUAUGGUCAUUGACAACAGUUUCUUUCGUGAUUUAGUGUCCCUCUUUGGGUUUGGUGAUGAUUAGCCUUCUAUUAGGGCUCUUCUCUUACUUUAGGGUCGUUAUGGUUGGAUUCCAAGGGAGAGAAGUGUUGGGAAACGGCUGUAAGGAACUGCUCCCACGUGAAUUGGUCUAUACAAGUGCCAUGGUCAUGGGGGUUUCAGCUCAACAUAACCAAAAAAGCUUCUCAUCUUUUUCAUCUCGUUGGAACCAACGCCACCCUUCCAUCCCUCGUUUAAACUAUGUUUUCUCUCUCUAUAUAUCCUGUUCACGUGGUUGAAGUAACCAUCUUUGCAAGUUUGUUGUCUAGUGGCUUGGCUAAAUGUGAUUGCAGGUCCUGCGGCAGUGGCAGAUCAGCCUUUUCAUGGAAACGUUAGGCUAGAAACUUGGAAGUUCAUCCAAAUACAGAUGUCUGCCUCUCUCCUUUUAUUUCAAUGUGCUACAAAUGAGAUGUAUCCCUCUCUACACUAGAAUGCAAUUAAGUGAUAUGAUGGAUUCUUGUAAAGAAAGCCGAGGGGACAACCGUGGUGGUGCGUGGGAUGGCUUUUCAUGGUUUUGGCAAAUAUUCUCUUUAGGUAUUGGAAUCAUUGAUUGGGGGUUAGUUGAGUUGCAUGCUUCUUGCAAGGAUCCUCAUUGCAUUUAUUGACGACUGGGGGUUUCCUCCUCAAGGGCAGAUGUAGGUUGGAUUUGAUAAUUAUUAUUUCUUUCUUGACUUUUAAUUGACAUCAACUAUGAGAGUAUAAAUAGAUUUUGAAAUCUAAUUACAUAUAUAUAAUUUGAAGUGUAUGUGCAUGCAUGCUCAAGAUAGUAGGUUAGUUCAGAGAACAUACCUGGUGAGUUCUUCCAAUCAAUGCUACUCUUCUUCCAACCCUGAAGCAAGUUCAUGCAGUUUCUCUUCUUGUGAUUUGUACAGGCGUGACAGCUUCAUCACCCAUCGGGCGUUUUGCGACGCCUUGGCGCAGGAGAGCUCGAGACUCCCUGCCGCCGGCCUCGACCUGCACGGGAACAACACAAUGGCUUUGAGCGUAUCUCAAAUGAACGCCCGGCUCACCUCGUUACGAGACCAAGGAGGCUGUGGAACCCCGGUCGAACACCUCGUGACUGCUGCGCACCCUUCGCUGUUCCGCCCACCUCAGCUCCCUCCACCGGCUGCUUUCUACCUCGGCAAUGGCUCCAACCAGGGCUUCGACGAGGAGCACCAGCCUGACCUCUCCUUGCUUCGAGGAAAGCGUUUUGAUGGCCUGAUGCAACUCCCUGAUCCCCAAGGCAACACCAUGGCCGCUGCCGACCUGUUCAACCUCAGCUUCUUCUCCACUAGCAGUAGGAGCACGAGUAGCAUCCGUAACAGCAACAAUGGCGGUGACCAGUAUAACCAGAUGCUGCUCGCCAGUGAUUUUAGCGAUGCCAACGGAAGGAGCGAACUGACGUCUCUCUUCUCUGGGAACCUUGUGAGCGAUCACGUCGCCGGCGGACUGACCUCUCUCUAUAACCAGAAUGAGUCCAACCUCCUCCCCCGGAUGUCAGCCACUGCAUUGCUUCAGAAGGCAGCUCAAAUGGGCUCGAUGACCAACAUCGGGCACUCGUUAUUGAGAGGAUUUGGCAACUCUUCUUCAAGCAGUCCGAGGCCUCCCAACACUGGCGGCGGCAACAGCGGAGACGGCCUGCAAGCUCGAACAGAGAACGAGACUCACCUCCGAAACCUGAUGAACUCGCUCGCGAACGGAAGAACCGGCCUCAUCGGCGGGCCCCAACAGGAGACCAGGGAGUUCGG
rnacentral:lncRNA from 1 species